rnacentral:rRNA from 1 species
ACUACGGGUGGCAGCAGUGGGGAAUAUUGGGCAAUGGGCGCAAGCCUGACCCAGCAACGCCGCGUGAAGGAUGAAGGCUUUCGGGUUGUAAACUUCUUUUCUCAGGGACGAAGCAAGUGACGGUACCUGAGGAAUAAGCCACGGCUAACUACGUGCCAGCAGCCGCGGUAAUACGUAGGUGGCAAGCGUUAUCCGGAUUUACUGGGUGUAAAGGGCGUGUAGGCGGGAAGGCAAGUCAGAUGUGAAAACCAUGGGCUCAACCUGUGGCUUGCAUUUGAUACUGUGUUUCUUGAGUACAGGAGAGGCAGGCGGAAUUCCUAGUGUAGCGGUGAAAUGCGUAGAUAUUAGGAGGAACACCAGUGGCGAAGGCGGUCUGCUGGACAGCAACUGACACUGAGGCGCGAAAGCGUGGGGAGCAAACAGGAUUAGAUACCCUUGUAGUC